GACAGAGGAUGCAAGCGUUAUUCGGAAUUAUUGGGCGUAAAGAGUACGUAGGCGGCUUCAUACGUCUAGGGUUAAAGACCAAAGCUUAACUGAGGGAGAGCUUUGGAAACUGCGAAGCUAGAGGGUGGUAGGGGUAGCGGGAAUUCCCGGUGUAGCGGUGAAAUGCGUAAAUAUCUGGGGGAACACCGAAGGCGUAGGCAGCCUGCUGGGGCUGUCCUGACGGUCAGCCACGAAAGCUGGGGGAGCAAACCGG
rnacentral:rRNA from 1 species